ensembl:lncRNA
CCUACAUCAAACAGUUUGUAUGGAAGAGAUGAAGGGAGUCCUGGUUAGGGUUCAAACCUAUGCAUAGUCAGGAAAAAAAACAUGUCCACAAUUUUUUUUUUCCCUGGAGAAAUUAUAAUAUCCACGUGUGUGUACAAACUAUGAUACAUUUGGAAGUUCUGCUCUUUCUCAGAUGCUGUCUGUUUUGUUCAGCGGGAUUUUUUCAUGGUUGACACCUCGAUGACAUCCAAACUGGUGGAGCAAGAAGGAAUCCAUGGCACUGAGAAAAUGGCAAUCUACUGAAAGAGAAACCAGGAGAGCAGCUUUGAGCAAGGAGGACAAGCAGGCAGAUGGGGCUUUCCUGGAGAGACACCAGCAGAGAGCAGAUCUGCAGGUUGGGAUGGGCUUUGUGAUGAACACCUAGUUGCUCUCUGCCUAUGAGAGGACCUUAGAGAAGAGUGGAGCAGCAUUUCAAUUAAAUAGUAAGUUACAACACACCAGUCUCUUCACCCAGUGUAUUAUUAUUAUCAGCCACUCCUCCUGACAGAUAACCUGGUUAUUUAAUAUCAUUU